UACGAAGGGAGCUAGCGUUGUUCGGAAUUACUGGGCGUAAAGCGCGCGUAGGCGGUUACUCAAGUCAGAGGUGAAAGCCCGGGGCUCAACCCCGGAACUGCCUUUGAAACUAGGUGACUAGAAUCUUGGAGAGGUCAGUGGAAUUCCGAGUGUAGAGGUGAAAUUCGUAGAUAUUCGGAAGAACACCAGUGGCGAAGGCGACUGACUGGACAAGUAUUGACGCUGAGGUGCGAAAGCGUGGGGAGCAAACAGG
rnacentral:rRNA from 1 species